GCGAAAGUGGCGGAAUUGGUAGACGCGCCAGAUUUAGGUUCUGGUAUCUUAACGAUGUGAGAGUUCGAGUCUCUCCUUUCGCACCA
rnacentral:tRNA from 2 species